GCCGCCGGCCCGGAAGAAGAAUCCCCAGCCCAGCGUCUACUUCUGGCGCACCCGUUUGGGUUCGUUCCUGUUUGUGUUCUGGGUAUUAUGAACCAGUGAAGCCUGGUUCAGUAGUCUCUAUAAGGCUCUCACCUUCAUCUGAUGCUGAAGCUUGAAUUCUGCAGACAGACAGGCAGAAAAGAAAGAUGGAUGUAAAGAGGAGAGUGAGGACAGACUGGAGCCCCUGGGAACAGACUGGAACUUAGAUCAGUCUCACUGCUCCCAAAGCUGGAUUUCUUUUUCAUAGAAGGAAAUGCUCCUGGAGCUGGGACAGAACAAGAUCCCCACACCAAGGAGGGGAGCCAGCAGAUGCCCUCUUGACAGAAAAGAAACAAGAGAAGCCCACAGUCUCUACCUUGCUGGGGUACCCACUCUGGUCGUUGUCUAUGAAACGAAAAACAUCCUUCACCUGACUGGCCGACAUCUUAGCAAGGCCCGAUGUCUGGAAGAAUUUUUGGGGUUCAAAGGUAUCUGGAUCUGAAAAACAGAGAAUAGGUUAUUCUGAUGAUCACUGGUUUGUAUUCUGUCUCUGGACCAAAGCAAUGUCAACUUAGGAUGUUAAAACUACUUUACAUGAUAUCAUUGAGCUACAGGGAUGCUCUGUUAAAAAAAACAACUUUUUUUUUAAAGGCCAAGUAGGGCUGUGACUGGGUCUGGAUUCUGAGGCAGCCAAGACCAUAUGCCUUCAUACUCUCAUCUCCUUUCCCCCUCCACAGAUUUCCCUCUCCACUCGACUUGUCGAUCUCCCCUUCUCUGGCCUCCCCUCCUCUGUGCCUCCCGAUGCCCUUUAUUCAGGCUGUGUAUCCAAGAUGGCAGCCCCACUGGUCUAACUGGUGAGAGAAAUACAGUCAUAGGAUUCAAACAGGCUACGGGGAUCCACUGAUUCCUUUUUUUUUUUUUUUCUUCAUGUUUAGUAAGAUUCUUCCACCUUACAGAAAGUGAUUCUAUGCUCAGAUCUCCUAUUUUUAUCAUGGGGUUAUCUAGUUAAUAAGUUCUUCCUUUGAUUCCAAUGCACUUUCAGCCAGUUUGCGUUUUAAUUUUUGUAGCUUUUCAGGAGCUAUCAAUAUGUGUGAGAAACCCACCGCUGCCUCGCUUCCCCUUUACCUUGGCACUCUUGCAG